CUUAAAGAAGGAUCAACCAAGCAGACGGGUCCUGUCGUAUACUGGAUGUUUAGGGAUCAACGGCUAAGAGACAACUGGGCUUUAAUCUACGCCAUUCAUCAGGCGAACAAGGCCAAUGUGCCUGUGGCUGUUGUUUUUAAUUUGUUCGAUCAGUUUUUGGGAGCCAAAGCUAGGCAAGUAGGGUUUAUGUUAAAGGGUUUGCGUCAACUACAGGGAAAAAUUGAAGAGCCCCUUCAAAUGCCCUUUUUCUUAUUCCAG
rnacentral:misc_RNA from 1 species